rnacentral:rRNA from 1 species
UACGUAGGGUGCAAGCGUUGUCCGGAAUUAUUGGGCGUAAAGAGCUCGUAGGCGGUUUGUCGCGUCUGCUGUGAAAAUCCAGGGCUUAACCCUGGACCUGCAGUGGGUACGGGCAGACUGGAGUGCGGUAGGGGAGAUCGGAAUUCCAGGUGUAGCGGUGAAAUGCGUAGAUAUCUGGAGGAACACCGGUGGCGAAGGCGGCAUCCUGGACCGACACUGACGCUGAGGAGCGAAAGCCAGGGGAGCAAACGGG